rnacentral:lncRNA from 1 species
GGCAAUGGCUGGAGGGGAAAAGCAGCGGCACAGCUGCCUGCCAUUGGCCUGGUCUUUUUCACUGUGCUCAGUGUUGUCAUCACGAAGCCUCUCAUGCAGCGCGAUGUCAGGAUGGGCCCAUGCGCGGGUGGAAGGCAUGUGGGGGCCAUGUUGCCAGCUGCGGAUGGACAGGCUUCUGAUAUCAGGCUGUGACAGCACUGUCAUCUCCCAAGAAUCCAGCAUCCGUCUGCAUGGAUUGCAUGCCAUCCUUGAAUCCACUCACUUGCCCAGCCCCUGAACCAACUGAUGAAUGUGGUGAAGUCUUCCCUUCGUCACCCCAGGUGCAGCCACAGCCUCUGCAGCCACCCUGGGGGAGAGACAGCUCCAGAUUCCCGCAAGGAGCAAAGAGAUUUUUGACUUUGUCUUCUUUUAUUGACAUUGAGGAGAAGCUUCUGACUCAGGCGAGCCUCACAAUAAGCUGUUUUUCAACUUCAGUAGACCCGGACCUGCUAAGGUGAGGUGUUCUGGAAGGGUCUCUGCUCCUAGCAGUCACUGGCAGCUUGCCCAAAUUGGAGAAGUUUAACAUCUCUUUUCUCUGAGAAGUAAAAUGUGUUUCUUUGGUGGAUGUGAAACCAACAAACCACUGUGGUGCCUCUCUACAUCUGAAGGAUGAGCCAGCCAAGCCAGGGGAACUGACGACCCCACACACGUCUGCACUGCUGUGGCCGUGUUGAACACGGACUCCUUCUUCAGGGCAGCCUUGGGCCAUCGGAGGGCUGCUGUAUGCAGUGACGGCCACCAAGUGUCCUUGGCCAGGGGAGUGAUUUACAGGGACUGAGAUCCUGACUUGUGACCCAGACACGAAUGCAUCCUUGUUCCAUUUUGUUAUUGCUCAACCGUCAUCUGGCCAUCCCCAAAGCCCACCUCUGUGAGAAAGGCCAGUGCUUGUCCUCGUGACACCCCUGAGACCUCGAUGGAGCAAGUCCCAGGAAUUACUGUGAAGUCCAAAUGGGCCCCAAAGCUGCC